rnacentral:rRNA from 1 species
GACGAACGCUGGCGGCGUGCUUAACACAUGCAAGUCGAACGGAAAGGCCCUGCUUUUGUGGGGUGCUCGAGUGGCGAACGGGUGAGUAACACGUGAGUAACCUGCCCUUGACUUUGGGAUAACUUCAGGAAACUGGGGCUAAUACCGGAUAGGAGCUCCUGCUGCAUGGUGGGGGUUGGAAAGUUUCGGCGGUUGGGGAUGGACUCGCGGCUUAUCAGCUUGUUGGUGGGGUAGUGGCUUACCAAGGCUUUGACGGGUAGCCGGCCUGAGAGGGUGACCGGCCACAUUGGGACUGAGAUACGGCCCAGACUCGUACGGGAGGCAGCAGUGGAGAAUAUUGCACAAUGGGCGGAAGCCUGAUGCAGCAACGCUGCGUGCGGGAUGACGGCCUUGGGGUUGUAAAGCGCUUUCGCCUGUGACGAAGCGUGAGUGACGGUAAUGGGUAAAGAAGCACCGGCUAACUACGUG